CCUACGGGAGGCAGCAGUGGGGAAUAUUGGGCAAUGGAGGAAACUCUGAUCCAGCAACGCCGCGUGAAUGAUGAAGGUCUUCGGAUUGUAAAGUUCUUUUCUAAGGGAAGAAGAAAGUGACGGUACCUUAGGAAUCCGCCUCGGCUAACUACGUGCCAGCAGCCGCGGUAAUACGUAGGAGGCAAGCGUUAUCCGGAAUGACUGGGCGUAAAGGGUGCGUAGGUGGGUUGACAAGUCAGUAGCGAAACACCGGGGCUCAACUUCGGAACUACUACUAAAAAUGUUGGACUUGAGUGCAGGAGGGGUAAGCGGAAUUCCUAGUGUAGCGGUGGAAUGCGUAGAUAUUAGGAGGAACACCAGUGGCGAAGGCGGAUUACUAGACUGUAACUGACACUGAGGCACGAAAGCGUGGGGAGCAAACAGGAUUAGAUACCCUUGUAGUC
rnacentral:rRNA from 1 species